rnacentral:rRNA from 1 species
CACGUAGUUAGCCGGGGCUUCUUAGUCAGGUACCGUCCAGGCGCCCAAGGGGCACCUUUCUUCCCUGCUGAUAGAGCUUUACAUACCGAAAUACUUCUUCACUCGCGCGGCGUCGCUGCAUCAGGGUUUCCCCCAUUGUGCAAUAUUCCCCACUGCUGCCUCCCGUAGGAGUUUGGGCCGUGUCUCAGUCCCAAUGUGGCCGUCCGCCCUCUCAGGCCGGCUACCGAUCGUCGCUUUGGUGGGCCGUUAUCCCGCCAACUGGCUAAUCGGACGCGGAUCCAUCGUAUGCCGUUAAACCUUUUCACACUGUGUCAUGCGACACCGUGCGUUUAUGCGGUAUUAGCAACUGUUUCCAGUUGGUAUCCCCCUGCAUACGGCAGGUUAUCCACGCGUUACUCACCCGUCCGCCACUCACUUAAUUAUCACUAGGUUUCAAAUUAAGUCCGUUCGACUUGCAUGUGUUAGGCACGCCACCAGCGUUCAUCCUGAGCCAGGAUCAAACUCU